AUUGAACGCUGGCGGCGUGCUUAACACGAUGCAAGUCGAACGCGAAGGGACUCGGUCCUGAGUAAAGUGGCGCACGGGUGAGUAACGCGUGGAUAAUCUGCCCUUAUGAUCGGGAUAACAGUUGGAAACGGCUGCUAAUACCGGAUACGCUCAAAAUGAACUUUUUGAGGAAAGAUGGCCUCUGCUUGCAUGCUAUCACGUAAGGAUGAGUCCGCGUCCCAUUAGCUUGUUGGCGGGGUAACGGCCACCAAGGCAACGAUGGGUAGCCGAUUUGAGAGGAUGAUCGGCCACACUGGAACUGAAACACGGUCCAGACUCCUACGGGAGGCAGCAGUGGGGAAUAUUGCGCAAUGGGCGAAAGCCUGACGCAGCGACGCCGCGUGAGGGAUGAAGGUUUUCGGAUCGUAAACCUCUGUCAGAAGGGAAGAAACUACGUUGUGCUAAUCAGCAGCGUACUGACGGUACCUUCAAAGGAAGCACCGGCUAACUCCGUGCCAGCCGCUGC
rnacentral:rRNA from 1 species